CAGUCGCCGCGGUAAGACAGAGGAUGCAAGCGUUAUCCGGAAUGAUUGAGCGUAAAGUGUCUAUAGGUGGCUUUUCAAGUCCGCCGUCAAAUCCCAGGGCUCAACCCUGGACAGGCGGUGGAAACUACCAAGCUGAGUACGGUAGGGGCAGAGGGAAUUUCCGGUGGAGCGGUGAAAUGCGUUGAGAUCGGAAAGAACACCAACGACGAAAGCACUCUGCUGGGCCGACACUGACACUGAGAGACGAAAGCUAGGGGAGCAAAUGGGAUUAGAUACCCGCGUAGUCCCUGUCUCUUAUACA
rnacentral:rRNA from 1 species